rnacentral:rRNA from 1 species
AUUGAACGCUGGCGGCAUGCCUUACACAUGCAAGUCGAACGGUAACAGGUCUUCGGAUGCUGACGAGUGGCGAACGGGUGAGUAAUACAUCGGAACGUGCCCGAGAGUGGGGGAUAACGAGGCGAAAGGUGUGCUAAUACCGCAUACGUACUGAGGUAGACAGUGGGGGACCUUCGGGCCUCACGCUAUUCGAGCGGCAGACGUCGGAUUAGCUAGUUGGUGAGGGAAAGGCUCACCAAGGCGACGAUCAGUAGCGGGUCCGAGAGGCUGAUCCGCCACACUGGUACGGAGACACGGGCCUGACGCCUACGGGAGGCGGCAGUGGGGAAGUUUGGACAAUGGGCGCAAGCCUGAUCCAGCCAUGCUGCGUGUCUGAAGAAGGCCGUCGGGUUGUAGAGGACUUUUGUCCGGGAGCAAAUGCUGGUGGCUAACAUCCACCGGAGCUGAGAGUACCGGAAGAAUAAGCACCGGCUAACUACGUGCCAGCAGCCGCCGCGGUAA